rnacentral:rRNA from 1 species
AUUGAACGCUGGCGGCAUGCUUUACACAUGCAAGUCGAACGGUAACAGGGUGCUUGCACCGCUGACGAGUGGCGAACGGGUGAGUAAUGCGUCGGAACGUGCCGAGUAGUGGGGGAUAACGCAGCGAAAGUUGUGCUAAUACCGCAUACGUACUGAGGUAGAAAGUGGGGGACCUUCGGGCCUCACGCUAUUCGAGCGGCCGACGUCGGAUUAGCUAGUAGGUGAGGUAAAGGCUCACCUAGGCGACGAUCAGUAGCGGGUCUGAGAGGAUGAUCCGCAACACUGGGACUGAGACACGGCCCAGACUCCUACGGGAGGCAGCAGUGGGGAAUUUUGGACAAUGGGCGAAAGCCUGAUCCAGCCAUGCCGCGUGUCUGAAGAAGGCCUUCGGGUUGUAAAGGACUUUUGUCAGGGAGGAAAUCGCUAGCGUUAAUACCGCUGGGGGAUGACAGUACCUGAAGAAUAAGCACCGGCUAACUACGUGCCAGCCGCCGCCGUAAUAC